rnacentral:lncRNA from 1 species
UUCAAGAGACACAAUCCUACAAAAGGACACACCUCUUGAAUUAAUCUCUCUGAAGAGACACACCCAUUGAAAAUAAUCAUACCAAAAGUCAUGAUUAUUCAUAUGAAAGGACGCACAUUUUCAUCUAAAUUGAUCGUAAAAUAUUUCAAAUAAUUAAGUGGCUUAAUUCUCAUAACUAAAUACUUAUAUCAACUUAAAUCAUCUCAAUUAGUUUCAUAGGAUUAAAUGAGGCUAUCAACAUUCAUCAAAGUUAGUAUAAUUUCAACAGAAUAUGAAAAUUUAAUUAAUUAGACCAUUUUAACCAAAAAGGUCAAUCCAAAAUCCAAACGCUUGUAUGGAUUCAUCAAAUGAAUACACUAAUCCGCUUCACAUGAUUAUCAUAUGAUACCCAACAAAGUUGCCUACUUAAAAUAAAUGCAUACUCAUGCCAUUGCCGUUAUGAGCAUAUUUAUCAGUUAAAAUAUGUCUUCUUAUGCAAGUAAUAUAUUCAAACGCAUAAUGAUUUGUCAUAGUGAGAGAACAAAAGUUAUUGGGAUGACAUACGCAUAAACUAAAAGUAAAGAAUUCUACACAAACUAUAAAUUUCAGCAUUACUAGAUUUUGGCAAAACCAAAGCCAACAUGCUUUGAACAAUUAAAAUUAUCCCAAGAUGCAUCUUUCGCAAGUUUAGUAAAUUUAUUUCUUGAUAAUUUUGAAUUGAGGCAAUUUAAAUAUGAAGGAAUGCAAUGGUUAGUAUAUAAAAUUCACAAUGUCCAUGUGCAAUUUGACUUUACAAAUCAGUUUACAUUUAUAUACUAUCUGGACAGAUAUUUCAUGCUACACAAUUCAAACGGGUCACACCAUUUCAAAAAUUAAAAACUGUUUUUAAUUUGGAAAGAUACAUUUUUCCAUAUAGCAUGCAUACUAUUUGUUUACAAACAGUUAACAAAAUUUUACCAACCUUCCCAAUCAAAAUUCCUUAGGCAACUUCUGACACAACUUAUAUUUUAAUAUAGAUACACUUUGAAUUAAAAGAGUGCCAACAAAUAAAACUCAUAGAUGAGACUACCAACAAAUACAAUACACAAACAUGUAUGCACCGGUUCAUGAAUAUGAUAUGUAUUAUGAAUUUCACAACUAAUUAUCAUAUAAUCUGGUGCAUCAAUUUGAGAUUUUUCACUCUAAUCUCUGAAUAUUAGAAUUUCUUCUAAUGGGUCAAAACCAGAAUCUACAUUAUAUGGUGCAGGAUUGAAUAAUAUCAGAUUAUUUGUCGACAAAUCAACUUGAAAUAUAUUUUAAUGAAUUCAACAUAUAAAAGAAUGAUUCCAAGUUAUAGAAUCACUAUCGAUUAUGCAAUAAUAUACAGAUUCAUUACACAUGAAUUUCUCUAAUUAAAAUGUUGUAAUAAAACACAUUUACCAGAAUCAUGAUACGUCAAAAUUCUGUCUUAUGAUUUUAUUCAUGCAGUAUCUUGAUUUCGAUUGCAAAUAAAAUAUAAUAUGCAUAAGAAAAUUCAUCUUAAGAUUUUUAAUGAAACGACAUCAUGCAUGUUGAAUUUUCUCAAAGUUGUGUGCCUCUAACUUAAUAAGAUUCAAUAUCCACUUUACUUGAAUCUGAAUUUGACAUAUAUUAAAUAGAAAAAAUCAUAAUGUAUAGAAAUUGAUGUUCUAAUCUAUGUUGUGUGAAUAAUUUAUUAAAGCAGAAAUGGGAUAUGAAUUUUAUAGUUCUAAUCCUACGGGGUGGAUAUAUUCUAUUUAACUCGAAUCAAUGUUCACUAUUACGUGCUAUGUUAUAACGAAAUGCACCAUAGCCCAUUGGUUAUUUGCUAUAUGUGUGAAAUUAGAAAAAUAUAAUUUAAGUGUAUAGAAACAUAUCGAAGAUACAUGGUUUUUCAUGGGUUGUAAAGCUGAUUAUGAUGUUUGUUUAGACAAUAUUAUAAACUUGGGACUAAAAUAUCCACACUUUAGCAAAAUAAUAUACAAUCAAAGAAAUUGAAAGAUCCACGAAUUCAUGAGGGCUAUACAUGCACUCACAUAGCGGCUGAUGGACCAAGCAAUGGGUUUUCUUUCAUACUUUGAAAUGCGAACCUGCCUAAAGUCGACGUACCAAUGCACUUGGUGGACUUCUCACGACAAUUAAUUAUUGAUGUACAUUGAAAUGACAAAUAUGAUAAUUUUGACGACAACAACAAUGGUGGGCACAAUCCAAGGGAACCAUUUCUUGAAAGGUUGGUCUGGUGGUGAUGGAAGAGGCAGUGGACGACAGGGACAAAGGCCACCAACUGUGUGUGGAUCCGUUUGGCAUGCUUGAAUUUUGAUCUCGAGCUUUGACUCAGGCAAAGAGUGUUAGAUAUUUUUCAUCAUUUUGCAUGUGUUUAAUUUUUUGUUUUGCGAAUGAUUUGUCGCCAGGAUUAGUGUUUGCCGCUGCGCAACGGGGUUCAACCUGCCCGGUCAGGUCUCGGGGGUCGAGGGGGCAACCCCCCGAAAGAGAAUUUUAUUUUCAAAAGUUUUUGAAUAGGUGCAUCUGUUCAUUUUUAACAGUCACUUCCAAGGGAUACACCUAUUCAAAUAGUUGCCUCAAUGUUUAUAAAUUCAUGGCGAAUUCUCAUUUGCAAACACAUUAAACAAUUUAUUCUUCCUUCUUUUUCUUGGCAUCAAUCAGUCAUUUUCGAGUGUCUUCUUGGUUUGAUCAAAUAGUCACAAUUUGAAUCAAACGCCUCCAUUGUAUCCUGAGAGAGAUUUUCUAUCAUACCCCAGUUGUUCCUUUUUUGAAUAGGGGAGAAACAUCUCUUAAAAGAUAACCUUUUUUUUUCGUGCCUUGGAGUUCAUUAACGUAUUCAGAUUUUCCUACAUUAUUAUCAACAAAGAGUAUGGAGAAAUCCUCCCCAUUCUGGCCAGUCAGGGCCUCGAAAGGGAAGAAAGGAUGAUUUGAUGCUAAUUUUGGACUAGCAGAAUCGUUAGGAAAAAAUUGAGUAGUUGAAAAUGUGCAACAUAUCAUGAAUUAUAGGACUAUGACACAAUCUUUAGCAUAUGUCUAUGUAAAGGUUAUGAGGAGACAGAGACACACAUGCAAGAAUCCCUUGCUAAUAAUUUUUAUUGUUUUUUUUUUGGGGAAUUUAUAGAUUAAAACCAUUACUCUGAAGUUUUAUGAAUCAUGAUACAUUCUAUUUGAAUCUUUGAUAGUAAGUAGAAGUGAUACGUGAACGAGUUGUAUGUGUUUUGCUUCCUUCAUAAGUUACAACUUUUCAAAUUUGUACACCACGAAAUUGGAUAGACUCAUUAAUUCAUGAUUUGGCAUGUACAUGAUUAAAACUUCAUCUUCACCUUUCUCUAACAUAUCACCGCAAUCUAUUUUUAAUUUCAAACUCAACAAGGACAAUUAAACACGAUGGUUUCGCUCGUUGAAAGACUUAAUCCAACACCUUAGUGCACGAGCCCUCCAACCCCUCCUUUUUAGGAUCCACCUCAUUUCAAUAACCUGUCUCCUACUGCCUUUUUUUUGAGAAAUGGGAAAGUCAAAAUGCUUAGAGAUGAAAAUGAGAGAAUGUCUACAAUAUCUAGAAUAACAAUCUCUUUAUUUAUGGGUAAAUUUCACAAACAGUCACUGAACUUAACUAAAAAUUUCAGAAUAGUCACUGAAAUUACAAACUUGCAGAAACGGUCACUGAAGUUUUGGGACGGUUUCACCAACGGUCACUCUUUUAAAUUGGUAGCACUAUAUGACUUUAAUUCAAACUUAAAGGACCAGAACACGUGAACACAAAACCUUGAGGACCUCAAGUGAAAAUUUCAUCUAAACCCUUACUCCCAACCCCACAAACCCAAACGACCAGCAGCCACCGCCUCACUUCGGUCAGUCACCGAAGAUCCAAGAAGCUUCUCUCCGGUAUUCUCAUCUAAGUCCGAACAAUCCUUGGGCAAUUUCUUAGUAUAGUAUUUAGCAACAGAGGCAGAUGACCUUAUAUGAUGAUUUCCAGCAGUCCCUACUAUAACCUUAGUUGCACAGUAGGAAUUGGCCUCUCGAACAGGAAUUUUCCGAACUGAUGAACCUCGGCAAACCUUUAGCUUUAGAUCCACGUGCAACAUCACUAGUUAAAUCCCGACUAAAGCUAAAGGUUAAAUCCCAACUCAAAAAUGAUGAUUCAAUCAUAGAAAUUAAAUUAUUUUCUUAUUCUUGCAAGUGGAAACAAGAGGAGAAAAUAUAUAAAAGCAAAAAUGCAUGUGGGCUUGACUGCUUAAGAGAAUAGAUCCACUGACAAAGCUCAAAUUUUUACCGAAUCACUAUCAAUUCCAGAAAAAAACUCAUCAACUGUGUGACAUUUCAAGAAAAUUGCAGGGAUCCCAAAUGAUAUUUGACAAGAAAUAUUGAAAAUUGUGAGAAAAUUACCUAUUUCAGAUUGCAGAAACCUUCAUAAACUGCAAGAAUGGAGUCAAAUGCUUUUACCAAAGAGAAGAUGAUUUACCAUCACGAUCCACAAUUUCCGCACAGCCCAAAUCAAUUAUUCACUAAAUGAAAAUACAAGUAAAAAAAUCUUUACUUCCAGAUGCCCCAGACACGACUAGACGAGGAAAAGCAUAGUCAAGAAGAGCUUCAAGUAUUGGAAGAAGAAGACCACCAACAAUUCUCCAAUCGAGAAUCUCGAGCAAAAUCUCAUUACAGUGGAGGAGGAGGCGGCUGCAGGUUGGACGGAGAUGUGAGUUGCGGCUGCUGGUCGUUUGGGUUUGGGGGUGGGGGUUUAGAUGAAAUUUUCACUUGAGGUACUCAAGGUUUUGUGUUCACAUGUUCUGGUCCUUUAAGUUUGAAUUAAAAUCAUAACGAUCCUAAUGGUACUACUAACUUAACAGAGUGACCAUUAGUGAAAUCGCCCUAAAAUUUCAG